CAGAGAACUACAGUCUCAACAGCUGUCAGUGUGGCACUGUUCAUACUGUCCCAGUACAAGCUUCACUGCUACUGCCUACGCAAUAUGUUUCAACUUUGACCUGGAGGAAUCCCCUCUAGGGGAAAGCAGGGAGUUGACUCUUCAUGGCCUAUUCAGUCCUUGGCCUCA
rnacentral:sRNA from 1 species